AGCGAACGCUGGCGGCAGGCCUAACACAUGCAAGUCGAACGGAUCCUUCGGGAUUAGUGGCGGACGGGUGAGUAACACGUGGGAACGUGCCCUUUGGUUCGGAACAACUCAGGGAAACUUGAGCUAAUACCGGAUGUGCCCUUCGGGGGAAAGAUUUAUCGCCAUUGGAGCGGCCCGCGUCUGAUUAGCUAGUUGGUGAGGUAAAGGCUCACCAAGGCGACGAUCAGUAGCUGGUCUGAGAGGAUGAUCAGCCACAUUGGGACUGAGACACGGCCCAAACUCCUACGGGAGGCAGC
rnacentral:rRNA from 1 species